rnacentral:lncRNA from 1 species
AGGGUCUCCUUCCUAACAUGGGGUAAAUAAAAGUGUAUUGAUCCAUAGAAUGGAAUUCUGGACAGUAGCCAAGGUGUUGUUGCUCUCUUUGAGUUCUCAAGCAUUUGCUGAGGUCAUGUUGUUGAUUGCUUCAUGGUCCUUUUUCUCAGUAAUGAACUAACAUAAGUUGAAAGUGGUUGAUUCAGUUAUCGAUCUGAUGCAUCUAUGUCUAUGAAGAUGUUGCUAUUUUAUCCAGUGUUCCAUGAACACACCAAGUAGUCUUCAGCUUUACUAAUGCCGUACCAUUUCUUAGCUAACCGGACAAGCAGCUUGCCGCUCUUUGAAGGGAAGUCUAAACUGGAUGGCUCUGCUUUUGUUAACGUUAAUGUGGCAUUCAUUUUUAGUCGUGGCGGAAUGAUGGAAUAAUAUAUCUUGCAACUCAUACAAUCCUUGAUGGUGAAUAAUUACAG